AACGAACGCUGGCGGCAUGCCUAACACAUGCAAGUCGAACGAGACCUUCGGGUCUAGUGGCGCCCGGGUUCGUAACGCGUGGGAACCUGCCCUUAGGUUCGGAAUAACUCCCCGACAGGGGUGAUAAUACCGGAUAAUGUCUUCGGACCGAAGAUUUAUCGCCUUUGGUUGGGCCCUCGUUGGAUUAGCUAGUUGGUAGGGUAAAAGCCUACCACGGCGCGCAUCCAUAGCUGGUCUGAGAGAAUGAUCAGCAACACUGGGACUGAGACACGGCCCAGACUCCUACGCGAGGCAGCAGUGGCGAAUAUUGGACAAUGGGCGGAAGCCUGAUGCAGCACUGCUGCGUGAGUGAUGAAGGUAGUAGGGUUGAAAAGCGCAUUUACCCGGGAUGAUAAUGACAGUACCGGGAGAAUAAGCCCCGGCUAACUACGUA
rnacentral:rRNA from 1 species